rnacentral:lncRNA from 1 species
UCCUCAUAUUUUUGGUAUGAAUUUGAUGAAUCUUCUUGAUGCUCUGUUCUUAUUCAUCUAGAGAUUCCUCCUCAUAUUGAUUGUUUGUAUUGCUCUGUUCUUGUCAUUUUGUAAAUUAGAAAACAGUAGUCAGUAUUUUUUUAUAAAAAAGUUUACCGCAUAAAAAAUGCAACAGUAGUUCAACACAAUAUCAAGGAGGGUGUGAGUUGGGUAUGGUUACAGACGAAAGAUAUGUGUUGAAAAGUUCACUUCGUCUACAUACGUAAGUUCAAAAAAUUGUCAUAGAGCUAGUUUAAAAAAUUGUCAAAAGGCAAAAUGGUUGUGCUAGUUCAAUUUUUUCAGUCCAUCUUCUGUAUGCUAUUCAGUACAUCUAAUUCCAAAUCGUAAGUACAAUUGCCUUUAUGUUUUCCAUCUUCAUAUAACACAAAAUAGGCACUGGAGGAUAAGGUGAGAAUAUAUACUAAUGAAAUGCUUGGUGGCGUUGUCCAUGUUUUGAAUUUAAACCACUAGCUUUUUUAUACACGAGCGCCUGUCCUGGGAGAGCCCUAUAUUGCCAUGAGCACUACUGCUACAAACUUUAAUCCCCCAUUGUCCGGCCCUAUAUUUUAUCCUCGGUUCUUAGAAAAGCAUGGAAACAAUUCUCUGUGUGUUAGAGUAUCAGUUCAUGUGGAGAAGAACAUGUUUCCUAUAUGAAAAAAAUAAUAUAUUAUUAUCAGUUCAAUAUGUAUUUUGUCAUUAGUUCAUACAGAACAACCGUAAAAAAUAUUUUGAUGUGUGUUAGAGAGAGAUCAACUUUAUAUUAUAUGGUAGCUCACUCAUUGCAUGAUUGCACAGCAGUUUGGCAUCAAAAUUCACAUCAGUUUAGGGGUGCCCGCAUCACGGUCUCACCGUGCUACCGCAAUCUCUCCUUGAUACGCCACCGGACGAGCCCCUCCUCACACUUUGGCAAGCUGUCACUUGCUCCUGUGCCUGGAUCCCAUGUGAGCGCUGAUGGUAGUCCUCUGUGUGCGUCAAUGGCACUUUCUCACAGCAAUCUCCCUCUCUUUCUUUGCUCCUGCUAUUAAAAUGCAUAGAUGUGGUAUUCUGCUAACUGAGUAGUUGGGAAGAUGUGAAAAGAACAUGCUCUUUAGGUGUUUGUGACUAUUCCUGUGAGCACCAAUGAAUUUAAAUUUUUAUUUUGUGCUUCCGUGUAUGUUUUUGGGCAGCACAAGUACAUCGUCAUAGUAAGUACAAAUGCGGUCUUAUGGAACUCUGAUAGUUGUUGGAUGCUAUUCCAAAUGCCAAUCAUGCAAAACGGUUGUUGCUAGAAUCUAGAUGAUAUUUAAUGUAGAUACCAUAGUUUCACCGUAUUUUUUGGUUCUAAAUAUUUCUGCAUACCUCUUUAAAAGAAUGUUCCGUUUGUGAUCAUUUCUUGUAGGUAUUCAUGUGGACUUUAAAUAAUGACUAUUCUUGUAUGAGGUUUGAAGAUUAUCGUGGAGCAAGUUCAAGAGAUUAGUUUCGUGAAAAUAAAUGUGAUCUUUUGGUCAGGAUUUUGCAUGAUCCAUAGCCAUCGAUGGCAACAGGAGGCGUCCUGCGUGAGUCGUCCAUCGUCUUCUAUGCGUGAGCUUGUUGUCUCUACACAUCUAGCAUCAGAGUAUCGCCUCCCCUUGCCACACACACAUGCGGUGUGGUCGAGCUAGUGUUGUUUGUGAUACUGCUCGUGACUCUUGCGUCGUCAUUGGACAAAGAAUUUGUUCUGUGACUAUGUAUUUGCAGGACCUUUAGCAAAUAUUGUUGUGUUCUGAGUAUUCUGAUGUGGGCCAAAUGGUGAGCAUUUAAACAUCAGUCUGAAUUAACAAAACUGAUAAGUUCUACUUUCAAUAAACUGAUGAACCUAGAUGCAACAAAGCUCUGCCAUUAGCCGUGGGGAUUAUCAGUUCAUGUGUAUUGUGUUCUUUUUGUCGGUUAAUGUAUUUCUUGUUUGUCAGGUCAUGUGCAAGUUUGUUAUCAGUUCAUGUGUAUGUGUAUUGGUGAUCUAUGCUAUUGCUGCUAGCUAUCGAUCAGACUGGUAUUACUUUGGCAGCUCCAUGUAAUUAGCCCCUUUGUUGGGUGAAUCUCCUACUACUUGCUAGCUUUGGAAUUGUAAAAACACAAUAAGUUCACAAUUUAAAAAGGUGUAAGUUCAACACGACGUCCUAGAUAAGUUUUAGGAAAAAGUUGAAACACAAAGAAAACCCAAAGAAAUUCAAAUGGUAACGUUCAAGUCGUGGGAUGAAAGAAGUCCAGAACAACGUUGAAAAUGUUAAGAGUUG